GCCUGCGUGGCUCAGUCGGUUGAGCAUCUGACUUCGGCUCAGGUCACGAUCUCGCGGUUCGUGGGUUCGAGCCCCGCAUCGGGCU
rnacentral:tRNA from 1 species